rnacentral:rRNA from 1 species
UACGGAGGGAGCUAGCGUUGUUCGGAUAUACUGGGCGUAAAGCGCACGUAGGCGGCUUUUUAAGUCAGGGGUGAAAUCCUGGAGCUCAACUCCAGAACUGCCUUUGAUACUGAGAAGCUUGAGUCCGGGAGAGGUGAGUGGAACUGCGAGUGUAGAGGUGAAAUUCGUAGAUAUUCGCAAGAACACCAGUGGCGAAGGCGGCUCACUGGCCCGGUACUGACGCUGAGGUGCGAAAGCGUGGGGAGCAAACAGGG